UACGUAGGGGGCUAGCGUUGUCCGGAAUCAUUGGGCGUAAAGAGCGUGUAGGCGGCCCGGUAAGUCCGCUGUGAAAGUCGGGGGCUCAACCCUCGAAUGCCGGUGGAUACUGUCGGGCUGGAGUGCGGAAGAGGCGAGUGGAAUUCCUGGUGUAGCGGUGAAAUGCGCAGAUAUCGGGAGGAACACCUGUGGCGAAGGCGGCUUUCUGGGCCUUACCUGACGCUGAGACGCGAAAGCGUGGGGAGCGAACCGG
rnacentral:rRNA from 1 species